UCCUCCCACCCAUCUCAAGUCGUUUCCAAUAAAACGCGCUACCUCUAUGUCCCCGCACCACACCACCUCCAUCUCCAUGGACACCUCCACCCUCGCCGCCGUCGCUUCCUUCGUCGCCUUCUCCACGAAGCCCCGCCUCCUCCCGCCACUCAACCCCUCUCGCAGCCUUCCACGCACCCGCGGCUCCCUUGCCGUCUGCUGCUCUCACUCCCACGCCUCUCCUCCGCCCUCGCCCCUCCCGUGCACUGCGUCCGAUGAGGAGGAGGUCGCUCCUCCGCGCCUCCGCCUCCGCCUGCUCGCCGAGGAGUUCGGCGCUCUCCCGGACGCCGACCGCGCGCGCCGCCUGCUCGCGUACGCGGCCGCGCUCCCGCGGCUGCCCCAGGCGGACCGCGUCGCGGCCAACCGCGUCAUGGGGUGCGUCACGCAGGUCUGGCUCCUGGGCAGCUGCGACCGCUCGGGACGCAUGCGGUUCGCGGCCGACUCCGACUCCGAGCUCUCGCGCGGGUACUGUUCCUGCCUCGUCUCCGCGCUCGACGGCGCGGGCCCCGAGGAGGUGCUCGACGUGGACCCCGCCGAUCUCGCGCCGCUCGGUGUGGCCGCGGGGGCGCGGUCCCGGGUCAAUACGUGGCACAACGUGCUCGUCGGCAUGCAGAAGCGGGCGCGGGCAGCCAUUGCGGCGCGCGAGGGCAGGCGUCCUGGGGAGCCGUUCCCGUCGCUCGUGAUCGGCCGGGACGGCGCCGUCCGCGCGCAAGGAAGCUACGCCGAGGCCAAGGCGAAGUUUUUAUCUCCUGACCAGUCCAAGAUUUCCGAGCUUGUGAAUGCCCUCAGAGAGAAACAAAUUGGAAUUGUGGCCCAUUUCUACAUGGAUCCUGAGGUGCAAGGCAUACUAACUGCUGCAAAGAGGCAAUGGCCCCACAUUCACAUAUCCGACUCAUUGGUAAUGGCAGAUAGUGCUGUUCAGAUGGCUGAAGCAGGAUGCAAAUAUAUUGCUGUGCUAGGUGUUGACUUCAUGUCGGAAAAUGUCCGUGCAAUACUUGAUCAAGCAGGAUUUACUCAGGUUGGUGUUUAUAGAAUGUCCAGCGAGCAAAUAGGCUGUUCCUUGGCAGAUGCUGCUUCAAGUUCUGCUUAUACACAUUUUCUUAAGACGGCAUCAAGAUCUCCUCCUUCUUUACAUGUCAUUUAUAUCAAUACCUCGCUGGAAACAAAAGCUCAUACUCAUGAACUUGUUCCUACGAUAACCUGUACCUCUUCCAAUGUUGUUGCAACUAUACUACAGGCAUUUGCCGAAAUACCAGAUCUUAAUGUCUGGUAUGGUCCUGAUUCCUAUAUGGGUGCGAACAUAGCAGACCUAUUUAAGAGAAUGACUAUCAUGUCAGAUGAAGAGAUUACAGAGAUACAUCCAGAUCACAACAGGAAAACUAUAAGUUCAUUAUUACAACGUCUUCAUUACUAUCAGAAUGGUAACUGUAUUGUGCAUGAUAUGUUUGGCCAUGAAGUUGUGGAAAAAAUAAAGGAGGAAUACUGUGAUGCAUUUCUAACUGCACACUUUGAAGUCCCAGGAGAAAUGUUCUCUUUGUCAAUGGAAGCAAAGACGAGAGGAAUGGGAGUAGUUGGAUCCACUCAGAAUAUCUUAGAUUUCAUUAAAUACCAUUUGAAGCAAGCUCUGGAUCGGAAUGUUGAUGAUCAUCUUCAGUUUGUAUUGGGAACAGAAUCAGGAAUGAUCACUUCGAUUGUUGCUGCUGUCCGGCAAUUAUUUGACUCCUAUGAAUCUUCCAAAGAAGGUGCUAGCAUUGAAGUAGAAAUUGUGUUCCCUGUUUCGUCAGACGCAAUUUCUAAGACAUCUAUUGAUGAUUCCCAAGAUUCCGGCUCUUCAGUAGCGAAUGAUUUAGAACAGAUUAAUAUUGUGCCUGGUGUGUUUUCUGGUGAAGGGUGCUCUAUCCAUGGUGGCUGUGCGUCAUGCCCUUACAUGAAGGUCUGGCUUCUCCCUUUUCUUUUACUGAUAAUUUGCGAUUUGACAUUCAAUGAGUUCAACAUAAUAUCAAUAAAUUUAUUUUGUCAUAGUCAUAAAUUCAUUUUGCUCUCUAUAUUAAUGUUUUGCCCUCUUUUGGAUUAUGUUCAUCUGGAACUCCUCAAGUAUUCAUACGAGCAGGUUCGAUGUCGACUGUUGUUUGUUUUGGUAAUGUAGCAGUUGUUCAGUUGCUCUGAUCUUAUGAAUUCUCUCGAGUCGCUACUUAAAAUCUGCCAGCAGCUUCCUGGUGAAGACAACAGUUUAUCUGUUUAUCAGGCUAGUCGAUUGAAUGCUAAGACUUCCCUUGGGAAAUUGGUUGCGGAGGUUGGGUGUGAGCCAAUUUUGCAUAUGAGGCAUUUCCAGGCGACAAAGAGAUUACCAGACAAGCUCGUUCACCAGGUUAUCCAUGGUAACGGAGGGGAACCUUUAUGAUGGCCGGUCCUCAGAAUCUUCCCUGUCAACUUUAUUCAGGUGUUUAUGGAUGAUACAUCAUUAUGUUGCCCCACUUGAGUACUACUCCGUACCUGAUAUUAGCAUUGCAGGGUGCAGUAUCCGACUUUGCACCAAGUGUUGUUAUCCCGUUACUGAUAAUUACCGGUGGAGUAACAUUCACAGAGUCUGCAAUGGUAGAUAUAUUGGCUGACCAAUUGUUAUUUGUCUCAGCCAAAAUGUUUCUCGUGUAUGUUUGAUGUCAGAUAUAUAAAUGGGCGGCAUACGAGUAUACCUGUAACGGGGCGGCAUACGAGUAUACCUGAAGCUUUUAUCCU